GGAAUGGGUGGCGGGAUGAGUAGGAAGAAUCCCCGGCCAUAGAGGAGCAAAAGGGAGGCCAAUGAUAUUAACGAUAAAUGAACUUGCUGUCGCUGCGCUUGCUCCCGCCAUUGCUGAUCUGAGGUGUGUGGGUAACCUUAGGUCAUCAGUCACCGAAGAACUCAAAUCGCUUUCACUCCAUAGCCCCGGCGUCGGCCGCGGUGAUGGCAGAGAGAUUCUAGCGGUGAAGAAGGAGUAUGAGGCAACCCGAUUUGCUAACGUGAGGAAGAAGAAAUUCAAGCGGUUGGAGAGAGUGAGGGGACGGUUGAUCAACAUUCCUCGAUGGUCUUGAACUCCACACAGGCGUCUUCUCCACCGUCGAGCAGCGGAAGAUCGUCGAUUGCAUCUAUGAUUUCCAGGAAAAGUGGCGCAGCUUAGAGAGCGCACAUAUUUAAAGCCUAGAAAGUGAAUGUGAGGUAAAGGGCGUGUCACUAUACAGUUUGGUUGUUGUUACAAUUAUUCAGUGGAUAGUAAUGGGAAUCCCCCUAGUAUAGUCCGUCAUGAAGAAGUCGAUCCUACCUUUAUUGAAACAAAUGAUCAAAAGGAUGGUGGCUUGGCAUGUUCUCCCGCCUACAUUCUCUUUAGGUGAUUGGGUGCCCCACAGAAUGUGUUGUGGGCACAAUUUAUUGACAUUGUAAUGAAAACUCUACUAUAAAGCAAGAGAUGUACAUUUGAAAUAGAAUAGAUGUGGUGGAAGUAGCAUAGUUUUGCACCACAUUGUAGCUUUUUUCUUAGAGAUUGAUAAGAUAGUUGCUUCUCAUUUAUAAUAGAAAAGAUGG